rnacentral:tRNA from 1 species
GGCUUUAUAGUCAAUAAUGAUAUUAGAUUGCAAAUCUAGAGGAGUAAAUAAAUUUACUAAGGCUU